rnacentral:rRNA from 1 species
GCGGCGGACGGGUGAGUAACACGUAGGCAACCUGCCCUUCAGACUGGGAUAACUACCGGAAACGGUAGCUAAUACCGGAUAAUUUCUUUUUUCUCCUGAGAGAAGAAUGAAAGACGGAGCAAUCUGUCACUGAGGGAUGGGCCUGCGGCGCAUUAGCUAGUUGGUGGGGUAACGGCCCACCAAGGCGACGAUGCGUAGCCGACCUGAGAGGGUGAACGGCCACACUGGGACUGAGACACGGCCCAGACUCCUACGGGAGGCAGCAGUAGGGAAUCUUCCGCAAUGGGCGAAAGCCUGACGGAGCAACGCCGCGUGAGUGAUGAAGGUUUUCGGAUCGUAAAGCUCUGUUGCCAGGGAAGAACGUCCGGUAGAGUAACUGCUACCGGAGUGACGGUACCUGAGAAGAAAGCCCCGGCUAACUACGUGCCAGCAGCCGCGGUAAUACGUAGGGGGCAAGCGUUGUCCGGAAUUAUUGGGCGUAAAGCGCGCGCAGGCGGCUAUUUAAGUCUGGUGUUUAAACCUUGGGCUCAACCUGAGGUCGCACUGGAAACUGGGUGGCUUGAGUACAGAAGAGGAAAGUGGAAUUCCACGUGUAGCGGUGAAAUGCGUAGAUAUGUGGAGGAACACCAGUGGCGAAGGCGACUUUCUGGGCUGUAACUGACGCUGAGGCGCGAAAGCGUGGGGAGCAAACAGGAUUAGAU